ACCCCUGAGACCACAACUUUGGAAGGAGUAGCAGAUGAAUGGGGGCGGAGCCCAGAGGAGCAGCUGGAGGCGGGGCCAGCACUGGGCCAGGAAGCUGGGAGACAGAGCUGUAACCUGUUGGGCUCAGACCUUCAAGCAGUUCCCACAGGAACCAGGAGCGCAACACUGAGGGAUGCUAAGCGAGAUGGAGACAGGAAGAAGCCCAUCUGUUCCUGCAAGACUCCAGAAACUGCGAAGGCCCUAGACAGUUGCAUUCCAGCAAGGACACAGGAUGGUCAGAGAAAUCCACAUUUGUCCCGGAAAGCCAGAACAGUGUCCACAAGAGCCACCGCCACCGCCACCUCCUGCUCCUCCCCCAGGGAGACUCUAGGAAAGAGAGCACUUUGAAAAAAAAAAUGUCUAGACUUUGUGUUAAAGUGAAGCCAAUUUAAAGCUGUGAGCAGCAGAGGAGAAGGGAGGGAGGCAUGAGAAGGCACCCAGAGGAGGCUCCGGUGGCAAUGCCAGCUGAACAGCCAACUGAGAAGGUCCAACUUGGGUCAAAGGCUGGCUUUGUAGCAGGCUGGGAACCUUGAAGGCCACCCUGACACACCUUUCUCCCCACUGUGGGGCCAAGUGUGGGAGUCACAAGGUCCUCAUUCAUACCACAUAACGCUCUCAUAGCCAAAGACUUUGGCUCCUGUGACACACAGCCUCAGUUUCCCACCAGCAGUCAGAUCCUCUUGGUAGGGGCUGAGUCCUCUCAGAUGCUGUCUGGAGAAGCAGGAGCCCUCGCUCGGUCUGUAAUGCAGUGCCUCCCUCCUCAGUCUGUGGACCACACUGGUGUGCAGGUGCACACACAGGUGUGCAGCUGACUCGGUGCGCAGACCCAAGGGCUCUGAUGGAUACACUGAGCGAACGAGCGAGCGAGCGAGCGUGCAGGCUGGCACAUAUGCAGGAGUAUGUGUGGGUGCACAGGACAUGUUCAGGGAUGGUCCACCCCAGGGACACAUGCUGGGGUUGUGUUCAAUGGUGGCAAGCAAUCAUGUCCGUGGCCUUGGAAAUGCAGCCAAUUACUCCCCCUUUAUGCCACUUAAGCACAUGUAUGUUGCUCAUACAUGUGUGUGCGUGCAUGCUUACAAAGCUUCAGCCAUACACAGAGUCCCUCCCCCUGCUCAGAUCCAAGCUAAAACAAUACCACUUUAUGCAGAACCAGGUCCUCUGCCCAUAGUUGGGGAAAGCCCAGGUGAGGUGGGGCAUAAGAAGAGGCCAGGGGAGGGGCUGAAAAGGGCUCUGGCUUGGAGAGGUGCUGGUUCCCCCUGGCUUCCAUCCUUUCCAAUCAGGCCAGGGUAGACAGAAUGCCCCAUAGCUCCUCCCAAGCCCUCAAGGUCACCCUGAGGUGGCCCUGCUCCUCUGCUCCCCAGGAUGGUUUGGGCUGGGGCCCAGUGCCUACUCUCCCCGUGACGGUGACGUGACGGAUUCAUGGUGGGGAGGAGGCUCCCGGCACCAUGUCCCGUAUGCGUCAGUUGCCCUGUUCUUAGCCUGGGCUGUCUGCCCACCACCCGUUGAGGCCUGGUGCAUCCAGGGAGAGGACAAGGCCACAAAGGCGCUGACAGCAGCACUUGGAUCCCUGCCCAGCUGCUCACCAGAUGGAGGUGCAGGUGUGCAGGGGAUGGGUGUGAGGGUCUUGGGGUCAAAUGUACAAGGUCAUUCUCCCCUGCUCCCAGGAGGGUGCUCCUCAAGCACGGCAUACCUGGGAGGACGGAGAAAGGAAGCUAUAGUGACAGCAGGGCAUGGAGACAAUUGGGGAGCACAUCUAACAGGACCGACCACAGGGAGGGAGCACAGAGAUAAAUGGGGAGCACAUCCAACAGAGGAUGACCAUAGGGAGCACAUAGAUAAAUGGGGAGCACAUCCAACAGAGGACUGACCACAGGGAGGGAGCACAGAGAUAAGUGGGGAGAACAUCCAACAGAGGAUGACCAUAGGGAGCACAGAGAUAAGUGGGGAGCACAUCCAAUAGGAUGACUGACCACAGGGAGGGAGGUGACAGGCGUGAGUAUGACAGUGUGACACAGGUACCUGCUGCCAGGGAGACAGAGGCUGAGAUCAGCUAAGCCCCAAACACAUCUAAGAGCAUGUCAGGAGGAAAGAAGUGUGAAAGCAGCUGCCCAGAGCCAGAUCAUGGCAGUGCUGAGCCCCAGGGCAAGCUUAGGAGGCGUGCAGCAGCAAAGACAAAGCCAGCACAGGCAGGGAACACGGUUCAGAGCUGUGCAGCGUUGGCAAAGAGUAGUCUAGCCAGCUACAGGCUGUGUGAGGUCCCUUCCCGUGAGUCCUUGGAAGAAGAGUGGACAACCAGUGGGCACUGGGGUGGGGGUGGGGGUGUAGGUCAGAGCUGGAGAGAGACUGCCUGAGCCACCUGGUGAUGUUCUUCUGUCUCAGGCUUGGCUUCCACAGCCAGGUUGACCCAGCUGGCCACAGUUUCCCUUCAGAAUCCUGGCAUCCGCCAUGUGAGCAGGUGAACCCUGGCUCAGUAGGAUUCCCAUUUUCUCACAGGGAAGCUGGGGCCAGGACAAAAGAGGGAAUGUGGUCCAGGUCAGAGUCGGGACCCAGGGUGUCAAACCCCAGGCCUCGGUGGGGUCCUCUGCUCCCUGCAGUGCAACGCUGGCCUGAGCCCUCGUUCCCAUACACAGAAGCUCAGUGGAUGUACCCCACAGGCACGGCAGGGGCAACAGCGGGUUCCCACAGGACAGCAGUCCAGGCCUAGCGGUGCACUUGGUAUGGUUUCUACCGUGACACCACAGCCUGUGGUGAAUGAGAAUGGCCCACUCUGAGACUCUUGGUGAGCCUCAGGCUUUCUCUGAGCCUCAGUUUCCCCUCUUAUGUGGCAAGAUGACUGGCACCAUGGACUUCCAGGAACCUCUGGGCCACAGCAGAGCACACUUGUCCUAUAGAGCGAUGAUUUUCUCAUCUGUGCUGACCCCAGGCUUCCCGCUCCCAGGGGGGCACUGCUCAGCUGGGGGAGGGGGGCAGACAGGGAAAGGACGUGGAAACAUGGCUGGUACCCUGACCACCCAUUAGAGAUGGAGGAAUCAGCAAGGAAGCACUGACGGCAGCUCGGCCCUGGCACACACUCCUCACAGGGCCAGGCUGCUCAAAGUCACCUGUCACCUAAACGGGACAGACGCCUCAGGCCCAGCCAGAGCUCACGAACCUUCAGCAACCUCACCACGCCUUUCUAGAACCUAGCACUGGGCCAUCGGGCCACUACCAUCCUUCCACCUUCCGGGGCCAAGGCUCGGGCCUCAGGGCGGGGCUCUAGGGCUUACUGCUGCCUUCUCCUUACAGAAGCUUCUAAGGCAAAGGGCCCUGGAUCUCUGCUUCUCCUCUAUGAAGCUGGGAAAUUGUGACACCGAAAGCAAGUUGAUAGCAGGAUCGCAAGUGUGAUGAGCCCUGGGGGGAGGCAGAGGAAAGUGCAGGCACUGGAGGUAAGGGGCUCUGGGGUCAAACGCAGAGCUGUGUGACACAGGCGGGCUCAUCACCUUCUCUGGGCUACAGUCUCCUUGCCCAGAGGUGCCUUUCCAAUGGCUCAGGCGAUUCUGACAUAUCCUUGGACGUCAACCCUGUGUGGCUCAGGCUCCAGUUAACAGAUGAGAAGAUUGCAAGUGCUAGACUCAAGGCAGCAGGGCAUACACUGACCCUCUUGUGAGUUUCCUCCCUCAGUGUACCCCUGCCUGACAGAAGGAGCUCACCCCAGCCCCUGGGAAGCUAGCUUCUCUGUCAUUCAAGAAAUUCUCAGCUGAGACCAGGUGUGGGCCUCAACCCCAGGACCUUUGCACAGGAUUCUGCCUUCUCAGCACACCCACUGCCUCACCUCAGUCAAGGCUCUGCUAAACUGCUCCCCACGUUACCCCCUUCUUUGUCACCAAGCCUGAGAGGACCCCCUUGUCGCUCAAGCUAGCUGUGGUCCCCUCACUGUGCUCAACUGUGACACCAGGUUCUCGGCUGCCACCCACUCCCCUACACCACCAAUCCAGCACAGCACACAGCAGUGUGUCUCUAUGUUGUUUGCUGGUGUAACCCCCAUGCUUGCCGCAGCAGGCCCCAAUACACCAGUGCUGGGCCGCUGUGUGCGGGAGAGAUGGGGGAUAACGGCAGGAAGAGAGGCUGAAACCCAUGAAAUCCUCAGGGCCAGGGUGUCAGAGGUAGAACUCACCACCAAUGAGGGUUCGAGAUGUGUCAGGGAAUGCCCUAAGCCUCCUGGCCUUGUCAACCCCUUACACUGCUCAUUUCAGACAGAGAGACAGAGGUUCAGAGAGGAAUAGCAGUACGCCCAAGGUCACAUAGCCAGGAACCUCAGCCAGCCUGAGUCUUGCUAGGGUCUCUGCAGGGACUGCUUCCCACACUUGCAUCUACUACAAGCCUGCUGCUUGCUGCAUCCUCUUCGUCCCUCCCCCCACCCCCCAACCAUGAUGUCAGCUUCAUCCUACCCUAGCCUCAGCCACUCCAGGUCUUUCCUACAACUGGGCUACCCGGGACACAGCAUUAAGGCCCAUGUCUGAGGCCUGGCUUCCUCCCUCUGUCAGCACGGCAGGAGCAUUGAGUCAAUGUUGCUCUCACCUUGCCCUAGAUGUCACCCGGGCCCCCGGGACCCCGUGCACACACUUCCCGACACCCUCAGAACGCCCCGGACAGCUGGGGGCCCGCUCUGUCUCUGUCUCACCCGAGGUGCUGGGUUUCAUCCACCCCAUUCCGUCACGUCUCAUUAGUCUCAGCCCAGAAGCCAGCUGCUCCGCAUCCCUGGGGAGCUGGCCUCUGCCCUCUGCCUCGGCACCCACUCUGCGUCACCCCUGGCUGGGAGCAGCUAUAGCUGUGCCACGUCACAGGCCGGAGGGACACGCCAUCCCUCCGGGCACACUCAGGCACCUCACCUCCGACACCCCGUAGGGGCUCCUCGUCUACCUGUUCUGCGCAGUACACACAGCUUGCUCACUCUGAGCUUCAGUGGGCCUCCAGAGAUGAAAAAAAAAAUCCCCUCAACCCUUCCCCACAUAUAUGGAGCCUGGAACUCUUGGCUGGAGACACGGCCAAGAAGGGUCUGCCAUAGGCGAAGCCCUGGAAGAGGAAGAACCUCUGGGGCAACGAGGUCUGGGGAGUGGGUUCCUUGUGCAAGGCCUGCAGUCUGGAGCUUAUUGUCUCUGGGCCUCAAUGUCAUCCGUUUAGAGAGCAGCAGUGUGCAUGGGUCUCAGGCUCUGCCCACUGUGUCCCCCUCCCAGCUCACAGGUCCCCUCUACGUCCCUGCUCCCAAGGCAUCCCAGCAGUAACGACGGCCAGACCUCCAACCAGCUGCAGGCAGGAAGUCAAGGAGCGCCACCAGGCCUUGGGCUUGGCUAGUGCCCAUGUCUGCCAGGGAGGCCCAGCCCUGGUUUGUGAGCAGUUCUGUGAUAGCUAGCCUGGCCCAGCUCCUGCCCGCCCCAGCCCCAGUCAACCUAAGACUCCAGGCACAAGGCCCCUUAGGUGGCUCUGUAGGGAAGUCCGUUCUAACAGUACCCCAGUCCCUUCCUGACUCUUGCAGAAUCCCCCCUGCUCAGGGAGCAGUCUUCCUUCUCCCCCACCCUCACAGGGUCUCUCCUCCCCUGAACCCACCUCCCCUCCUAGGCUCUCCUCCCCACACCUGACCCUGCCCUUUCUCUCCCUGGCCUCUCCCCCACCACCUGUUCUAUCUCCCCUAUCAGGCCUGCUCACUCCCAGCCUGGCCUCUCCUCCCUCCCCCACUUGGCUCAGCGGCAGCCCCUGGGCACUACUCACCGGUCUCCACUGGACCCGCUCUUGCACAGUGCCUGCGCGCGCACGCUGCCUCUGCCUGCAUGGUCUCCAUUCAUUCAUUCAAUAAACAUUUAUGGAACACCUACUAUGUACCAGGCACCGGCUAGGCCCACCCCCUUGGUUCUACCUGCAGUCUGCUCCUCCUCCAGGGUCCCAAGGGUGGGCAUUUUCCUGCCUUCCGAUAUCCUUAGGGUCGUUCCAAGGCAGGGCAGUAUGUCAGGGGACCUCUGGGGAGAAGCGGUGGCUCCGGGUUGGAGCACGCAGCCCACUGGGGUAUCCUGGCCUGUCAGGGGAAUACAUGGGCAGAAAAGGCGGCAACUAGGCCUGGAAGCUUUCCGGGAAGAUGGCUCAUCCCGGGGAAGCAGGCCUGUGAGCCUGUGCUGUUCUGAGCACUGCUUAGCUACGCAGAGGAGAGGACUGGAUCUCCAGCUGCUACGCGGUGGCUGUUUCCUCCUUGGCCUCAGGCUCUGACUCAUGCAACGCCAAGGGACCCUGCUUCAUCUGGACAGUAAUUAAAUUUUGUUUUUAGCUA